rnacentral:rRNA from 1 species
GACGAACGCUGGCGGCGUGCUUAACACAUGCAAGUCGAGCGGAAAGGCCCUUCGGGGUCCUCGAGCGGCGAACGGGUGAGUAACACGUGAGUAACCUGCCCCAGACUUUGGGAUAACCCUCGGAAACGGGGGCUAAUACCGGAUACGACACAGCUUCGCAUGGGGUCUGUGUGGAAAGUUUUUCGGUUUGGGAUGGGCUCGCGGCCUAUCAGCUUGUUGGUGGGGUGAUGGCCUACCAAGGCGACGACGGGUAGCCGGCCUGAGAGGGCGACAGGCCACACUGGGACUGAGACACGGCCCAGACUCCUACGGGAGGCAGCAGUGGGGAAUAUUGCACAAUGGGCGGAAGCCUGAUGCAGCGACGCCGCGUGAGGGAUGACGGCCUUCGGGUUGUAAACCUCUUUCAGCAGGGACGAAGCGUAAGUGACGGUACCUGCAGAAGAAGCGCCGGCCAACUACGUG